GUGGGGAAUUUUGGACAAUGGGCGCAAGCUUGAUCCAGCAAUGCCGCGUGUGUGAAGAAGGCCUUCGGGUUGUAAAGCACUUUUGGCAGGAAAGAAAUAGUGCGUGCUAAUACCAUGCGCGAAUGACGGUACCUGCAGAAUAAGCACCGGCUAACUACGUGCCAGCAGCCGCGGUAAGACGUAGGGUGCAAGCGUUAAUCGGAAUUACUGGGCGUAAAUCGUGCGCAGGCGGUUUUGUAAGACAGGUGUGAAAUACCCGGGCUCAGCCUGGGAACUGCACUUGUGACUGCAAGGCUAGAGUGUGUCAGAGGGAGGUGGAAUUCCGCGUGUAGCAGUGAAAUGCGUAGAGAUGCGGAGGAACACCGCUGGCGAAGGCAGCCUCCUGGGAUAACACUGACGCUCAGGCACGAAAGCGUGGGGAGCAAACAGGAUUAGAAACCCGAGUAGUCC
rnacentral:rRNA from 1 species